rnacentral:rRNA from 1 species
CUUGAAACACUAUAAGAGGUCCAGCCUGCCCAGUGACUAAGUUCAACGGCCGCGGUAUCCUAACCGUGCGAAGGUAGCGUAAUCACUUGUUCUUUAAAUGAGGACUAGUAUGAAUGGCACCACGAGGGUUGUACUGUCUCCUUUUUCUAAUCAAUGAAACUGAUCUCCCCGUGAAGAAGCGGGGAUAUAAAUAUAAGACGAGAAGACCCUAUGGAGCUUUAAAUUUUAUUACACUGACUUAUUAUAAAGCAAAGUUUCAGAACAAUAAAAGCUAUUUUAGUCGGAAUGAUUAUAAAUUUUAGGUUGGGGUGACCGCGGAGAAAAAAUUAUCCUCCACAUUGAACGGAGCUACUCCUGAGCGAAAAACUACAACUUUAAGCACCAAUAAAUUGACAUUAAUUGACCCAAUAUAUUGAUCAACGAAC